rnacentral:rRNA from 1 species
GUGGGGAAUAUUGGACAAUGGGCGGAAGCCUGAUCCAGCCAUGCCGCGUGUGUGAAGAAGGUCUUCGGAUUGUAAAGCACUUUAAGUUGGGAGGAAGGGCAGUAAGCUAAUACCUUGCUGUUUUGACGUUACCGACAGAAUAAGCACCGGCUAACUUCGUGCCAGCAGCCGCGGUAAUACGAAGGGUGCAAGCGUUAAUCGGAAUUACUGGGCGUAAAGCGCGCGUAGGUGGUUCAGCAAGUUGGAGGUGAAAUCCCCGGGCUCAACCUGGGAACUGCCUCCAAAACUACUGAGCUAGAGUACGGUAGAGGGUAGUGGAAUUUCCUGUGUAGCGGUGAAAUGCGUAGAUAUAGGAAGGAACACCAGUGGCGAAGGCGACUACCUGGACUGAUACUGACACUGAGGUGCGAAAGCGUGGGGAGCAAACAGGAUUAGAUACCCCAGUAGUCC